AGCAUGUAGUUUUUUAUUUUUCGUUUUUUGUAUAUACAUUUUUUAAAUUUACAUUUUCGGCAUUAGAGUCAGUGCUCAACAGGAUACAGCCUCUCCACAACCUUAACAAUGUUUUCCACUACCUCGGCUUCUCCCUGUUCUCUGAAUCUGAUGGUGCUUUAAAAGCGAAGAACGUUUUUCACGGUCUUCAUUUCCACCAUGAAGUCCGAUAAUUCUUCCUCGAUGACCUCUGUUAUGACCGCUAUUGCAGCAUCGAUGACGAUGACGAAUUUCUC